rnacentral:rRNA from 1 species
UACGUAGGGGGCUAGCGUUGUCCGGAAUCAUUGGGCGUAAAGAGCGUGUAGGCGGUCCGGUAAGUCCGCUGUGAAAGUCGGGGGCUCAACCCUCGAAUGCCGGUGGAUACUGUCGGGCUAGAGUGCGGAAGAGGCGAGUGGAAUUCCUGGUGUAGCGGUGAAAUGCGCAGAUAUCAGGAGGAACACCUAUUGCGAAGGCAGCUCGCUGGGACGUUAUUGACGCUGAGACGCGAAAGCGUGGGGAGCAAACAGG